UACGAAGGGGGCUAGCGUUGUUCGGAAUUACUGGGCGUAAAGGGCGCGUAGGCGGCGUGUCGAGUCAGGCGUGAAAGCCCCGGGCUCAACCUGGGAACCGCGCUUGAGACUGGCAUGCUCGAGUUCGGGAGAGGAUGGUGGAAUUCCCAGUGUAGAGGUGAAAUUCGUAGAUAUUGGGAAGAACACCGAUGGCGAAGGCAGCCAUCUGGACCGACACUGACGCUGAGGCGCGAAAGCGUGGGGAGCAAACAGG
rnacentral:rRNA from 1 species